rnacentral:rRNA from 1 species
AGCUCCAAUAGCGUAUAUUAAAGUUGUUGUGGUUAAAAAGCUCGUAGUUGGAUCUCAACAGCCUUGAAGCGGUUAACUUUGUAGUUUUACUGCUUUGUAGGCUGUGCUUUUGCUGGAGGUUUAGGGGUGCUCUUGAUCGAGUGUCUCUGGAUGCCAGCAGGUUUACUUUGAAAAAAUUAGAGUGCUCAAAGCAGGCUAAAAUGCCUGAAUAUUCGUGCAUGGAAUAAUAGAAUUAGGUGUUCGUCCCUAUUUUGUGGGUUUUGGGACUCGACAUAAUGAUAAAUAGGGACAGUCGGGGGCAUUUGUAUUCAAACGACAGAGGUGAAAUUCUUGGACCGUUUGAAGACAAACUACUGCGAAAGCAUUUGCCAAGAAUGUUUUCA